UACGAAGGGUGCAAGCGUUACUCGGAAUUACUGGGCGUAAAGCGUGCGUAGGCGGUUUGUUAAGUCCGUUGUGAAAGCCCUGGGCUCAACCUGGGAAUUGCAGUGGAUACUGGCGAGCUAGAGUGCGGUAGAGGAUGGUGGAAUUCCCGGUGUAGCGGUGAAAUGCGUAGAGAUCGGGAGGAACACCCGUGGCGAAGGCGGCCAUCUGGACCAGCACUGACGCUGAGACGCGAAAGCGUGGGGAGCAAACAGG
rnacentral:rRNA from 1 species